GAUGAACGCUGGCGGCGUGCCUAAUACAUGCAAGUAGAACGCUGAAGGAAGGAGCUUGCUCUUUCCGGAUGAGUUGCGAACGGGUGAGUAACGCGUAGGUAACCUGCCUGGUAGCGGGGGAUAACUAUUGGAAACGAUAGCUAAUACCGCAUAACAGUAGAUGUUGCAUGAUAUCUACUUAAAAGGUGCAAUUGCACCACUACCAGAUGGACCUGCGUUGUAUUAGCUAGUUGGUGAGGUAACGGCUCACCAAGGCGACGAUACAUAGCCGACCUGAGAGGGUGAUCGGCCACACUGGGACUGAGCCACGGCCCAGACUCCUACGGGAGGCAGCAGUAGGGAAUCUUCGGCAAUGGACGGAAGUCUGACCGAGCAACGCCGCGUGAGUGAAGAAGGUUUUCGGAUCGUAAAGCUCUGUUGUAAGAGAAGAACGAGUGUGAGAGUGGAAAGUUCACACUGUGACGGUAUCUUACCAGAAAGGGACGGCUAACUACGUG
rnacentral:rRNA from 1 species